CGGUAACAGGUCUUCGGAUGCUGACGAGUGGCGAACGGGUGAGUAAUACAUCGGAACGUGCCUAAUAGUGGGGGAUAACUAAUCGAAAGCAUAGCUAAUACCGCAUGAGAUCUCAGGAUGAAAGCAGGGGACCGCAAAGCCUUGCGCUAACGGAGCGGCUGAUGGCAGAUUAGGUAGUUGGUGGGAUAAAAGCUUACCAAGCCGACGAUCUGUAGCUGGUCUGAGAGGACGACCAGCCACACUGGGACUGAGACACGGCCCAGACUCCUACGGGAGGCAGCAGUGGGGAAUUUUGGACAAUGGGCGCAAGCCUGAUCCAGCCAUGCCGCGUGCAGGAUGAAGGCCUUCGGGUUGUAAACUGCUUUUGUACGGAACGAAAAGCCUGUGGUUAAUACCUGGGGUUCAUGACGGUACCGUAAGAAUAAGCACCGGCUAACUACGUGCCAGCAGCCGCGGUAAUACGUAGGGUGCGAGCGUUAAUCGGAAUUACUGGGCGUAAAGCGUGCGCAGGCGGUUAUGUAAGACAGAUGUGAAAUCCCCGGGCUCAACCUGGGAACUGCAUUUGUGACUGCAUAGCUAGAGUACGGCAGAGGGGGAUGGAAUUCCGCGUGUAGCAGUGAAAUGCGUAGAUAUGCGGAGGAACACCGAUGGCGAAGGCAAU
rnacentral:rRNA from 1 species